rnacentral:rRNA from 1 species
UGAACCUGCGGAAGGAUCAUUCACACUAUGAUUACACAAUCACACAUA